CUAGCUAAAGCUUUGUAAGUAUUUUAUUUACAUUAAAAAGAUUAUUAAAUAUUAAUAUAGCUUGA
rnacentral:tRNA from 1 species